rnacentral:rRNA from 1 species
UCACCAGUUGGAGCCGUAAACGAUGUCGACUUGGAGGUUGUGCCCUUGAGGCGUGGCUUCCGGAGCUAACGCGUUAAGUCGUCCGCCUGGGGAGUACGGCCGCAAGGUUAAAACUCAAAUGAAUUGACGGGGGCCCGCACAAGCGGUGGAGCAUGUGGUUUAAUUCGAUGCAACGCGAAGAACCUUACCUACUCUUGACAUCCAGAGAACUUACCAGAGAU